UUUGAAAUCUGGCCUCCCGGCCCGAGUUGUAAUUUGCAGAGGAUGCUUCUGGCGCGGCGCCUUCCAAGUCCCCUGGAACGGGGCGCCGGAGAGGGUGAGAGCCCCGUACUGUCGGACGCCAAGCCAGCGUGAAGCUCCUUCGACGAGUCGAGUAGUUUGGGAAUGCUGCUCAAAGCGGGAGGUAGACCCCUUCUAAAGCUAAAUACCGGCCAGAGACCGAUAGCGCACAAGUAGAGUGAUCGAAAGAUGAAAAGCACUUUGAAAAGAGGGUUAAACAGCACGUGAAAUUGUUGAAAGGGAAGCGCUCGUGACCAGACUUGCGCCGGGGCGAUCAUCUGGCGUUCUCGCCGGUGCACUCGCCCCGGCCCAGGCCAGCGUCGGUUCGCGCGGGGGGAGAAAGGCGUCGGGAACGUGGCUCCCUCGGGAGUGUUAUAGCCCGGCGCGUCAUGCCCCCGCUGCGGACCGAGGUUCGCGCUCUGCAAGGACGCUGGCGUAAUGGUCAUCAGCGACCCGUCUUGAAACACGGACCAAGGAGUGAAGGUUCUGCGCGAGUGUCUGGGUGUCAAACCCGCACGCGUAAUGAAAGUGAACGCUGGUGGGAGCCUCGGCGCACCACCGACCGAUCCUGAUGUUCUCGGAUGGAUUUGAGUAGGAGCGUGGUGCCUUCGACCCGAAAGAUGGUGAACUAUGCUUGGAUAGGGUGAAGUCAGAGGAAACUCUGAUGGAGGCUCGCAGCGGUUCUGACGUGCAAAUCGAUCGUCAAAUCUGAGCAUGGGGGCGAAAGACUAAUCGAACCAUCUAGUAGCUGGUUACCGCCGAAGUUUCCCUCAGGAUAGCAGUGUUGUCUUCAGUUUUAUGAGGUAAAGCGAAUGAUUAGGGACUCGGGGGCGCUAUAUUGCCUUCAUCCAUUCUCAAACUUUAAAUAUGUAAGAAGCCCUUGUUACUUAGCUGAACGUGGGCACUCGAAUGCAUCAACACUAGUGGGCCAUUUUUGGUAAGCAGAACUGGCGAUGUGGGAUGAACCAUACGCGAGGUUAAGGUGCCGGAGUGGACGCUCAUCAGACACCACAAAAGGCGUUAGCACAUCUUGACAGCAGGACGGUGGCCAUGGAAGUCGGAAUCCGCCAAGGACUGUGUAACAACUCACCUGCCGAAUGUGCUAGCCCUGAAAAUGGAUGGCGCUCAAGCGUCCCACCC
rnacentral:rRNA from 1 species